UACGUAGGUGACCAGCGUUGUUCGGAUUUACUGGGCGUAAAGGGCGCGUAGGCGGCGCGACAAGUCACUUGUGAAAUCUCCGGGCUUAACUCGGAACGGUCAAGUGAAACUGUCAUGCUAGAGUGCAGAAGGGGCAAUCGGAAUUCUUGGUGUAGCGGUGAAAUGCGUAGAUAUCAAGAGGAACACCUGAGGUGAAGACGGGUUGCUGGGCUGACACUGACGCUGAGGCGCGAAAGCCAGGGGAGCAAACGGG
rnacentral:rRNA from 1 species